rnacentral:rRNA from 1 species
CGAAGGUGUGCUGUGAGGCAUGCUGGAGGUAUCAGAAGUGCGAAUGCUGACAUAAGUAACGAUAAAGCGGGUGAAAAGCCCGCUCGCCGGAAGACCAAGGGUUCCUGUCCAACGUUAAUCGGGGCAGGGUGAGUCGACCCCUAAGGCGAGGCCGAAAGGCGUAGUCGAUGGGAAACAGGUUAAUAUUCCUGUACUUGGUGUUACUGCGAAGGGGGGACGGAGAAGGCUAUGUUGGCCGGGCGAAUCUUGGAUACGAAUUCCCGCGGCCGCCAUGGCGGCCGGGAGCAUGCGACGUCG